rnacentral:rRNA from 1 species
UACGGAGGGGGCUAGCGUUGUUCGGAAUUACUGGGCGUAAAGCGCACGUAGGCGGCUUUGUAAGUUAGAGGUGAAAGCCCAGGGCUUAACCCCUGGAAUUGCCUUUAAGACUGCAUCGCUAGAAUCGUGGAGAGGUGAGUGGAAUUCCGAGUGUAGAGGUGAAAUUCGUAGAUAUUCGGAAGAACACCAGUGGCGAAGGCGACUCACUGGACACGUAUUGACGCUGAGGUGCGAAAGCCAGGGGAGCAAACGGG